AUUGAACGCUGGCGGCAUGCCUUAUACAUGCAAGUCGAACGGCAGCACGGGAGCAAUCCUGGUGGCGAGUGGCGAACGGGUGAGUAAUAUAUCGGAACGUGCCCAGUCGUGGGGGAUAACGUAGCGAAAGCUACGCUAAUACCGCAUACGAUCUAUGGAUGAAAGCGGGGGAUCGCAAGACCUCGCGCGAUUGGAGCGGCCGAUAUCAGAUUAGGUAGUUGGUGGGGUAAAGGCUCACCAAGCCGACGAUCUGUAGCUGGUCUGAGAGGACGACCAGCGACACUGGGACUGAGACACGGCCCAGACUCCUACGGGAGGCAGCAGUGGGGAAUUUUGGACAAUGGGCGCAAGCCUGAUCCAGCAAUGCCGCGUGCAGGAUGAAGGCCUUCGGGUUGUAAACUGCUUUUGUACGGAGCGAAAAGGCUUCCACUAAUACUGGGGGCUCAUGACGGUACCGUAAGAAUAAGCACCGGCUAACUACGUGCCAGCAGCCGCAGUAAAAC
rnacentral:rRNA from 1 species